GAUGAACGCUGGCGGCGUGCCUAAUUCAUGCAAGUCGAACGAACAGACGAUGAGCUUGCUCCUCUGACGGUAGCGGCGGACGGAUGAGUAACGCGUGCAUAACCUACCUAUAAGACUGGGAUAACAUCGUGGGGCCGGUGCCGAUAACGGAUAAUAUAUUCAACGGCAGGGUUCAAUAGUUUAAGAGGGUUUGGCUGUCACUUAGAGAUGGUUCCGCGCCGCAUUAGCUAGUUGGUAAGGUAACGGCUUACCAAGGCAACGAUGCGUAGCCGACCUGAGAGGGUGAUCGGCCACACUGGAACUGAGACACGGUCCAGACUCCUACGGGAGGCAGCAGUAGGGAAUAUUCGGCAAAGGGCGAAAGCUUGACGGAGCCACGCCGCGUGAGUGAAGAAGGUCUUCGGAUCGUAAAACUCUGUUAUUGGGGAAGAACAAAUGUGUAAGUAACUAUGCCCGUCUUGACGGUACCUAAAGAGAAAGCACCGGCUAACUACGUG
rnacentral:rRNA from 1 species